UGGGGAAUAUUGGACAAUGGGGGGAACCCUGAUCCAGCCAUGCCGCGUGUGUGAAGAAGGCCUUAUGGUUGUAAAGCACUUUAAGCGAGGAGGAGGGUACUGGUAUUAAUACUACCAGGUACUGGACGUUACUCGCAGAAUAAGCACCGGCUAACUCUGUGCCAGCAGCCGCGGUAAUACAGAGGGUGCGAGCGUUAAUCGGAUUUACUGGGCGUAAAGCGUGCGUAGGCGGCUAAUUGAGUCGGAUGUGAAAUCCCCGAGCUUAACUUGGGAAUUGCAUUCGAUACUGGUUAGCUAGAGUGUGGGAGAGGAUGGUAGAAUUCCAGGUGUAGCGGUGAAAUGCGUAGAGAUCAGGAGGAAUACCGAUGGCGAAGGCAGCCAUCUGGCCUAACACUGACGCUGAGGUACGAAAGCAUGGGGAGCAAACAGG
rnacentral:rRNA from 1 species